AUGAUGAACACACAGGGAAAGAGGAUAGGCACUGAUACAUGUUCUCCAGUCUAUUUGGAAAACAGGGAGUUGUUCAUUUGGCCAUGUACAUGCAAACUUAGAAGAAAGGUGAUACUGUAGACAUCAAGGGAAUGAGUCCUGUUCAAAAAGGAAUGCCUCACAAGUAUUACCAUGGCAAAAUUGGAAGAAUCUACAGUGUUACCCAGCAUGCUGUUGGCAGUGUUGUAAACAAGUUAAGGACAAGAUUCUUGCCAAGGGAAUUCAUGUGCAUAUUGAGCAUAUUAAGCACUCUAAGUGCCGAGACGGCUUCCUAAAACACAUAAAGGAAAAUGGUCAGAGAAAGAAGCCAAAGAGAAAGGUUCCUGGGUUCAACUGAAGCACCAGCCUGCUCCACCCAGGGAAACAUACUUUGUGAGAACCAAAGCCUGAGCUGCUGGAACCUGUCCCCUAUGCAGUCAGGGCAUAA
rnacentral:lncRNA from 1 species